rnacentral:rRNA from 1 species
UGCAGUCGAACGGUGUAGCAUACAUAGNUGGCGCACGGGUGCGUAACACGUAUGCAACCUACCUUAUACUGGGGGAUAGCCUUUGGAAACGGAGAUUAAUACCCCAUAGUACAUUUGAUUGGCAUCAAUUAAAUGUUAAAGAUUUAUCGGUAUAAGCUGGGCAUGCGUCCAAUUAGUUAGUUGGUGAGGUAAUGGCUCACCAAGACUUUGAUUGGUAGGGGAACUGAGAGGUUAAUCCCCCACACUGGCACUGAGAUACGGGCCAGACUCCUACGGGAGGCAGCAGUAGGGAAUAUUGGGCAAUGGAGGCAACUCUGACCCAGCCAUGCCGCGUGCAGGAAGAAGGCGUUAUGCGUUGUAAACUGCUUUUAUAUAGGAAGAAAUAGUCCUUGCGAGGAAAGUUGACGGUACUAUAUGAAUAAGCACCGGCUAACUCCGUGCCAGCAGCCGCGGUAAUACGGAGGGUGCAAGCGUUGUCCGGAUUUAUUGGGUUUAAAGGGUGCGUAGGCGGUUUAUUAAGUCAGUGGUGAAAGACGGUCGCUCAACGAUUGCAGUGCCAUUGAUACUGGUAGACUUGAGUGGGAUUGAGGUAGCUGGAAUGGAUAGUGUAGCGGUGAAAUGCAUAGAUAUUAUCCAGAACACCAAUUGCGUAGGCAAGUUACUAAGUCUCAACUGACGCUGAGGCACGAAAGUGUGGGGUAUCAAACAGGAUUAGAUACCCUG